UACCACCCUGGUGCGUUUGAGGUUCUAACCCAGGUCCCUUAUCGGGAUCGGGGACAGUGCAUGGUAGGCAGUUUGACUGGGGCGGUCUCCUCCCAAAGCGUAACGGAGGAGUUCGAAGGUACGCUAGUUACGGUCGGACAUCGUGACGAUAGUGCAAUGGCAUAAGCGUGCUUAACUGCGAGACUGACAAGUCGAGCAGAUGCGAAAGCAGGACAUAGUGAUCCGGUGGUUCUGUAUGGAAGGGCCAUCGCUCAACGGAUAAAAGGUACUCUGGGGAUAACAGGCUGAUACCGCCCAAGAGUUCAUAUCGACGGCGGUGUUUGGCACCUCGAUGUCGGCUCAUCUCAUCCUGGGGCUGUAGUCGGUCCCAAGGGUAUGGCUGUUCGCCAUUUAAAGAGGUACGUGAGCUGGGUUUAAAACGUCGUGAGACAGUUUGGUCCCUAUCUUCCGUGGGCGCUGCAGAUUUGAGGAAGCCUGCUCCUAGUACGAGAGGACCGGAGUGGACACACCUCUGGUGUAUCGGUUGUCACGCCAGUGGCAUUGCCGAGUAGCUAAGUGUGGAAGAGAUAACCGCUGAAAGCAUCUAAGCGGGAAACUCGUUUCAAGAUGAGAUCUGCCGGGGCCUUGAGCCCCCUGAAGAGUCGUUCAAGACCAGGACGUUGAUAGGCUGGGUGUGGAAGCGCAGUAAUGCGUUAAGCUAACCAGUACUAAUUGCUCGUGAGGCUUGACCCUAUAACUUUG
rnacentral:rRNA from 1 species